GUAGCCCCAGGGAAACUGACUAUGAAAAACAACUGCAGCAUAAUUAUAGAUAUAAAUGCAAACAAAAGGAAAUUCUAAGUGAGGCAUGAAGGAUAGUGUGAAAAAAAAAAAGGAAAGUUGAGUACUUAAUAUAUUUUAUAAUAGUUUUGACAUCUCUCUUAGAAGUAGGUCACACUGAAUUCAAUGGGAUUUAAUGCAAGGGCUACCAGCAGGCAAAACCACAGUGAGUGAAAUAGCAUCAAGCAAAUCUGCACACCAAGGCAAGAAGAAAUUGAGGAAGAGUUAUUUCAAGUAUUACUUAAUCACAACAAACCAAUAAUUUAACCCUGAGCUACAUACAUUCUCCACUAUUAUGUUUAAGAAUUCAUUAAUUAAGAUGCUGGAUCUGCAAAAGAAAUUCAGAUCUUGGAAUCAAUACAAACUGAUUAUAUA